rnacentral:rRNA from 1 species
GGGCAACCUACCUGUAAGACUGGGAUAACUUCGGGAAACCGGAACUAAUACCGGAUGACAUAAAGGAACUCCUGUUCCUUUAUUGAAAGAUGGCYUYGGCUAUCACUUACMGAUGGGCCCGCGGCGCAUUAGCUAGUUGGUGAGGUAACGGCUCACCAAGGCGACGAUGCGUAGCCGACCUGAGAGGGUGAUCGGCCACACUGGGACUGARACACGGCCCAGACUCCUACGGGAGGCAGCAGUAGGGAAUCUUCCGCAAUGGACGAAAGUCUGACGGAGCAACGCCGCGUGAGCGAUGAAGGCCUUCGGGUCGUAAAGCUCUGUUGUUAGGGAAGAACAAGUGCUAGUUGAAUAAGCUGGCACCUUGACGGUACCUAACCAGAAAGCCACGGCUAACUACGUGCCAGCAGCCGCGGUAAUACGUAGGUGGCAAGCGUUGUCCGGAAUUAUUGGGCGUAAAGCGCGCGCAGGCGGUUUCUUAAGUCUGAUGUGAAAGCCCCCGGCUCAACCGGGGAGGGUCAUUGGAAACUGGGAAACUUGAGUGCAGAAGAGGAAAGUGGAAUUCCAAGUGUAGCGGUGAAAUGCGUAGAGAUUUGGAGGAACACCAGUGGCGAAGGCGACUUUCUGGUCUGUAACUGACGCUGAGGCGCGAAAGCGUGGGGAGCAA